rnacentral:rRNA from 1 species
UGAGGAAUAUUUGCGCAAUGGGGGAAACCCUGACGCAGCGACGCCGCGUGAGUGACGAAGGUUUUCGGAUCGUAAAGCUCUGUCAGAAGGGAAGAAAUGCUAUAUGGUUAAUACCCAUAUAGUUUGACGGUACCUUCAGAGGAAGCACCGGCUAACUCCGUGCCAGCAGCCGCGGUAAUACGGAGGGUGCAAGCGUUGUUCGGAAUUACUGGGCGUAAAGGGCGCGUAGGCGGCUUGAUAAGUCAGGUGUGAAAGUCCACGGCUCAACCGUGGAAGUGCAUUUGAAACUGUCAGACUUGAGUAUCGGAGGGGAGUGUGGAAUUCCCGGUGUAGAGGUGAAAUUCGUAGAGAUCGGGAGGAACACCGGUGGCGAAGGCGACACUCUGGACGAAUACUGACGCUGAGGCGCGAAAGCGUGGGGAGCAAACAGGAUUAGAUACCCUGGUAGUCCACGCCGUAAACGAUGUGAACUAGGGAUAGGGGGUGUUGAUCCCUCCUGUCCCGCAGCUAACGCAUUAAGUUCACCGCCUGGGGAGUACGGUCGCAAGAUUA